rnacentral:rRNA from 1 species
GCAUGCAACAGUGCCUGUCCUAAAGGCAGCAGAUUCCUCUGAACCUGGAAGCUAAACAGAAUCAGGUCUGGUUAAUAUGUGGAUGGGAGACUGCCAACCAAUACCAGGUGCUGUAAGCU